GGAGCAGCAGGCCUGGCUCCUGCCCAGGAGGCACCUGGCCUAGAUCUCAGCGUCACUGAGGAGUUAACCAAGGGAAGCGGCACCAGCAUCACACCCUGUUCCAGCCAACAGUCUCCAGCGUCCCUGACAGAUGUCGGGAAGUUCUUUUCCCCGUAAGAUCCCGGAGAAUGUCCUGAGGCUGCCUUGUGGAAGCUCUGGGGCCUUUCUCGUCUCCCACUGCCAGCUUAAUGAGCUGUGCUGGUAGCAACAGAUGGCGCCCCGCAGGGUCUCACUUGGAUAGCUUGGAAAGUUCCUGGACACCAGUUGGACUUGCCGCGAAAACCAUUAAUCUUGGCCUUUCAGAGAAAAUCUUCAGAAGAA
rnacentral:lncRNA from 1 species